UACGGAGGAUGCAAGCGUUAUCCGGAAUGAUUGGGCGUAAAGCGUCCGCAGGUGGCUGUGUAAGUCUGCUGUCAAAGAGCGAAGCUCAACUUCGUAAAGGCAGUGGAAACUACACGGCUAGAGUGCGUUCGGGGCAGAGGGAAUUCCUGGUGUAGCGGUGAAAUGCGUAGAGAUCCGGAAGAACACCGGAGGCGAAGGCGGCUUGCUGGGCGUAGUCUGACGCUGAGGCGCGAAAGCGUGGGGAGCGAACAGG
rnacentral:rRNA from 1 species